rnacentral:rRNA from 1 species
GUACACGCUGUGACUAGCAUAUCAAUAAGCGGAGGAAAAGAAACUAACUAGGAUUCCCUCAGUAACGGCGAGUGAAGCGGGAAGAGCUCAAAUUUGAAAUCUUCAAGGUUCUACCUUGACGAAUUGUAGUUUAAAGAAGUGUUUUCUGUUGGAGUUUUGGUAAAAGUUCUUUGGAAUAGGACAUCAUAGAGGGUGAGAAUCCCGUAUUUGACCAUUAUUUCCAGCUUUGUGAUACACUUUCAAAGAGUCGGAUUGUUUGGGAAUGCAGUCCAAAAUGGGUGGUAAAUUUCAUCUAAAGCUAAAUAUUGGCGAGAGACCGAUAGCGAACAAGUACCGUGAGGGAAAGAUGAAAAGAACUUUGAAAAGAGAGUUAAACAGUACGCUGAAAUUGUCAAAAGGGAAGCGUUUGACACCAGUGUUGUUUUCUCGAAAAUCAAUUAAAAAAGGCAGGAUUUUGUGUUGUAUUGACUUUAUCAGCUUUCUGCACUCUUUUCUUGUCUUUUUUAAUGCACUUUUCGUUUAACAAGUCAACAUCAAUUUCUUUUGUUGUAAAAGGGUCAUUGGAAGGCGGCUUUCUUUUCGGAGAAAGUGUUUAUAGCCUUUGGCCUCUGCAAUCGGAGAGAUUGAGGUCUGCAGCGUAGAUCCCUUCGGGGUUAGAUACAUUUGUGCUAAGUUAUAGCCUUUCAUAGACAACUUGUCGACUAUGAUCAGUCAUGUAGCUUACUCGCUUAUGCCUAUUUUACCUACGCUUAGGAUGUUGAAGACUCUACAGAGAUA